rnacentral:rRNA from 1 species
UGAGGAAUAUUGGUCAAUGGACGAGAGUCUGAACCAGCCAAGUAGCGUGCAGGAUGACGGCCCUAUGGGUUGUAAACUGCUUUUGUAUGGGGAUAAAGUCAAUCACGUGUGAUUGUUUGCAGGUACCAUACGAAUAAGGACCGGCUAAUUCCGUGCCAGCAGCCGCGGUAAUACGGAAGGUCCGGGCGUUAUCCGGAUUUAUUGGGUUUAAAGGGAGCGUAGGCCGGAGAUUAAGUGUGUUGUGAAAUGUAGACGCUCAACGUCUGACUUGCAGCGCAUACUGGUUUCCUUGAGUACGCACAACGUUGGCGGAAUUCGUCGUGUAGCGGUGAAAUGCUUAGAUAUGACGAAGAACUCCGAUUGCGAAGGCAGCUGACGGGAGCGCAACUGACGCUUAAGCUCGAAGGUGCGGGUAUCGAACAGGAUUAGAUACCCUGGUAGUCCGCACAGUAAACGAUGGAUGCCCGCUGUUGGUACCUGGUAUCAGCGGCUAAGCGAAAGCAUUAAGCAUCCCACCUGGGGAGUACGCCGGCAACGGUG